ACCUGGGUGGCUCAGUUGGUUAAGCACCCGAUUUCAACUCAGGUCAUGAUCUCGCAAUUCGUGGGGUCGAGUCCCACGUCAGGCU
rnacentral:tRNA from 1 species